rnacentral:rRNA from 1 species
GGAAUUUUCCGCAAUGGGCGAAAGCCUGACGGAGCAACGCCGCGUGAGGGAUGAAGGCCUCUGGGCUGUAAACCUCUUUUAUCAAGGAAGAAGAUCUGACGGUACUUGAUGAAUAAGCCACGGCUAAUUCCGUGCCAGCAGCCGCGGUAAUACGGGAGUGGCAAGCGUUAUCCGGAAUUAUUGGGCGUAAAGCGUCCGCAGGCGGCCCUUCAAGUCUGCUGUUAAAAAGUGGAGCUUAACUCCAUCAUGGCAGUGGAAACUGUUGGGCUUGAGUGUGGUAGGGGCAGAGGGGAUUCCCGGUGUAGCGGUGGAAUGCGUAGAUAUCGGGAAGAACACCAGUGGCGAAGGCGCUCUGCUGGGCCAUCACUGACGCUCAUGGACGAAAGCCAGGGGAGCGAAAGGGAUUAGAUACCCCAGUAGUC